CCUCGCGUCACUUCCUGGGCGGCUCCCGAAGCUCGGGUGCCGCCCACUUGGAGCCAAGAACCGGAGUUUCCGGGGAGCCGGAAGUCCUAGUGGGGCGGGGCUUCCUGACGGAGACAACCCCCCCUUGCGAAAGUAGACUCAACAGUUAAGGUGGUCUGCCUUUAAUCCCAGCACUCUGGAGCCCGAGGCAGGAGUAUCUCUGUGAGUUCCAGGCCAGCCUGAUCUACAAAGUCCAGGACAUCCAGGGAAACCCUGGCUCGAAGAACCAAAAAAAAGUCAAAGUCAACAGUAAUUCAGAAAUAUAAUGUGUGCUUCCAGCGUGGAUGUAAUGCACAGCACUCAACAUCUGUAACUCUAUCCAGCCUUCCCCAGUGAGGUUGGGAGGUUUAGAAAUGUUGACAAGAAAGACUGAUUGGACAUCCCCAUCUUGAAUUGGAGCAGCUGUUGACCACCACCAGCAAGGAGCCUCUUUGAAUCAGGCCUAGUUACAUUCCUGCACGGAAACUGAGGAAAGCUCGCCUAGCUCCUCUCUGAAGCUGUAUCAGUAGAAACAUCACACAACAGAGCUGAGAAUUCCUAUUGCCUAAUGACAAUGUGGCCAGGACAGCAUCUCGGCAUAAUGCAUUCCUCACCUGUUUUCAGUGAUGGUCUCUGGUGUGAACAAGCCUGCCCUUGAACCAGUUAUAGAGAACACACAGUACUGCACGGUAUAUAGUACUUGAUAAGUAAAUGACUAUAUAUUUAC